AGGCAAUUAGCACGCUCUCGUUACCCGAAUCAAUGUUUCACAAACUCAGGCAUGACGCGAAUUUCUGGUCCU